rnacentral:rRNA from 1 species
UGCGUAGGCGGCUUUUUAAGUCGGAUGUGAAAUCCCUGAGCUUAACUUAGGAAUUGCAUUCGAUACUGGGAAGCUAGAGUAUGGGAGAGGAUGGUAGAAUUCCAGGUGUAGCGGUGAAAUGCGUAGAGAUCUGGAGGAAUACCGAUGGCGAAGGCAGCCAUCUGGCCUAAUACUGACGCUGAGGUGCGAAAGCGUGGGGAGCAAACA